GCCGCUGCAAAUUCAGCGGUCGGGCUUGGCCGCCCGAAUCGGUAAGGCGCACAGCGCCGCAGGGCGUUUUUUU
rfam:Pseudomonas phage YMC11/02/R656, complete genome.